rnacentral:rRNA from 1 species
GAUGAACGCUGGCGGCGUGCCUAAUACAUGCAAGUCGAGCGAACAGAUGAGGAGCUUGCUCCUCUGACGUUAGCGGCGGACGGGUGAGUAACACGUGGAUAACCUACCUAUAAGACUGGGAUAACUUCGGGAAACCGGAGCUAAUACCGGAUAAUAUAUUGAACCGCAUGGUUCAAUAGUGAAAGACGGUUUUGCUGUCACUUAUAGAUGGAUCCGCGCCGCAUUAUCUGGUUGGUAAGGUAACGGCUUACCAAGGCAACGAUGCGUAGCCGACCUGAGAGGGUGAUGGGCCACAAUGGAGCUGAGAGACGGCCCAGAGUCCGACGGGCGGCAGAAGCAGGGAAUCGUCGGAGAUGGGCGAAAGCCUGACGGAGGAACGGCGCGCGAGUGAUGAAGGUCUUCGGAUCGUAAAACUCUGUUAUUAGGGAAGAACAAAUGUGUAAGUAACUAUGCACGUCUUGACGGUACCUAUUCAGAAAACCCCGGCUAAUUACGU